CCUACGGGAGGCAGCAGUAGGGAAUUUUCGUCAAUGGGCGCAAGCCUGAACGAGCAAUGCCGCGUGAACGAGGAAGGUCUUCGGAUCGUAAAGUUCUGUUGAAGGGGAGAAAGAGCGGAGAGAGGAAAUGGUCUCCGAUUGAUAUUACCCUUCGAGGAAGUCACGGCUAACUACGUGCCAGCAGCCGCGGUAAUACGUAGGUGGCGAGCGUUAUCCGGAAUGAUUGGGCGGAAAGGGUGCGUAGGCGGCCUGCUAAGUCUGGAGUGAAAGGUACCGGCUCAACCGGUACAGGCUCUGGAAACUGGCGGGCUAGAGAGCAGGAGAGGGCGGUGGAACUCCAUGUGUAGCGGUAAAAUGCGUAGAUAUAUGGAAGAACACCAGUGGCGAAGGCGGCCGCCUGGCCUGUUGACUGACGCUGAGGCACGAAAGCGUGGGGAGCAAAUAGGAUUAGAUACCCCGGUAGUC
rnacentral:rRNA from 1 species